UACAGAGGUCUCAAGCGUUGUUCGGAUUCAUUGGGCGUAAAGGGCGCGUAGGCGGCGGGGUAAGUCGGGUGUGAAAUCUCAGAGCUCAACUCUGAAACUGCACUCGAUACUGCUCUGCUUGAGGACUGGAGAGGAGACUGGAAUUCACGGUGUAGCAGUGAAAUGCGUAGAUAUCGUGAGGAAGACCAGUGGCGAAGGCGGGGUCUCUGGACAGUUCCUG
rnacentral:rRNA from 1 species